rnacentral:rRNA from 1 species
CUACGGGUCGCUCCAGUGAGGAAUAUUGGUCAAUGGGCGCAAGCCUGAACCAGCCAUCCCGCGUGGAGGAAGACGGCCCUAUGGGUUGUAAACUCCUUUUAUAAGGGAAGAAUAUACGUAUCGUGAUAUGUUUUGACGGUACCUUAUGAAUAAGCAUCGGCUAACUCCGUGCCAGCAGCCGCGGUAAUACGGAGGAUGCAAGCGUUAUCCGGAUUCAUUGGGUUUAAAGGGUGCGCAGGCGGACCAAUAAGUCAGUGGUGAAAUCUUACGGCUCAACCGUGAAACUGCCAUUGAUACUGUUAGUCUUGAGUACGGCUGAGGUAGGCGGAAUGUGUAAUGUAGCGGUGAGAUGCUUAGAUAUUACACAGAACACCAAUUGCGUAGGCAGCUUACUAGACCGUAACUGACGCUGAGGCACGAAAGCGUGGGUAGCGAACAGGAUUAGAUACCCGAGUAGUC